AUUGAACGCUGGCGGCAGGCCUAACACAUGCAAGUCGAGCGGAUGAAGGGAGCUUGCUCCUGGAUUCAGCGGCGGACGGGUGAGUAAUGCCUAGGAAUCUGCCUGGUAGUGGGGGAUAACGUCCGGAAACGGGCGCUAAUACCGCAUACGUCCUGAGGGAGAAAGUGGGGGAUCUUCGGACCUCACGCUAUCAGAUGAGCCUAGGUCGGAUUAGCUAGUUGGUGGGGUAAAGGCCUACCAAGGCGACGAUCCGUAACUGGUCUGAGAGGAUGAUCAGUCACACUGGAACUGAGACACGGUCCAGACUCCUACGGGAGGCAGCAGUGGGGAAUAUUGGGCAAUGGGCGAAAGCCUGAUCCAGCCAUGCCGCGUGUGUGAAGAAGGUCUUCGGAUUGUAAAGCACUUUAAGUUGGGAGGAAGGGCAGUAAGUUAAUACCUUGCUGUUUGGACGUUACCAACAGAAUAAACACCGGCGAACUUCGU
rnacentral:rRNA from 1 species